GACGAACGCUGGCGGCGUGCCUAAUACAUGCAAGUUGAGCGAUGAAGAUUGGUGCUUGCACCAAUUUGAAGAGCAGCGAACGGGUGAGUAACGCGUGGGGAAUCUGCCUUUGAGCGGGGGACAACAUUUGGAAACGAAUGCUAAUACCGCAUAACAACUUUAAACAUAAGUUUUAAGUUUGAAAGAUGCAAUUGCAUCACUCAAAGAUGAUCCCGCGUUGUAUUAGCUAGUUGGUGAGGUAAAGGCUCACCAAGGCGAUGAUACAUAGCCGACCUGAGAGGGUGAUCGGCCACGUUGGGACUGGGACACGGCCCAAACUCCUACGGGAGGCAGCAGUAGGGAAUCUUCGGCAAUGGACGAAAGUCUGACCGAGCAACGCCGCGUGAGUGAAGAAGGUUUUCGGAUCGUAAAACUCUGUUGGUAGAGAAGAACGUUGGUGAGAGUGGAAAGCUCAUCAAGUGACGGUAACUACCCAGAAAGGGACGGCUAACUACGUG
rnacentral:rRNA from 1 species